GUCCACGCCUAACGAUGUCAACUGGUUGUUGGAAUUCACUUUCUCAGUAACGAAGCUAACGCGUGAAGUUGACCGCCUGGGAGUACGGCCGCAAGGUUGAACUCAAAGGAAUUGACGGGACCCGCACAAGCGGUGGAUGAUGUGGUUUAAUUCGAUGCAACGCGAAACCUUAACCCACCUUUGACAUGUACGGAAUCCUUUAGAGAUAGAGGAGUGCUCGAAAGAGAGCCGUAACACAGGUGCUGCAUGGCUGUCGU
rnacentral:rRNA from 1 species